CCAGUCCUCUGCUUAAUGACUGAUAGGUGAGUCAAAUUUGUUCUUUCAUCUUGGAUCAUGGGCUAGGUCUGCUUAAAGGAUAUUGCACACUUUUUUGUUCUUUCGUCUUGAUGCUCAUUUAGUUUCUUUAUUUCUCAUGUAAUUUAGGGGUUUAAGAAUUCUCUUGGAGACGCAAAAGAACAUGCCAUCAGUAACUUCUCUCUCUCUCUCUCUCUUUCUCUCUCAUAUGCAGUUUCUUCUUCCUCCUCCGGAAGAAGCCAAUGAUAUCUAUAUGUACAAGCGAGUCACAGAAUCUUUUGCUUUCGAUCAUUCUCGUCUCUGAUCGGUUUGCCCACACCGAGGUGGAUGGCUUCGCUCUCUAAGGUCUGUCUGGUGGGAUGGGUUAUGGCCUUGAGCUUCUCCUCAAGAAUUAUUCUUAUUCUGUUUCAAGUCUUGUGUAAUAUGAAUCCUGAUCAGAUUAUGUGUAUGUUUUGUUCGGAGCCUGCUUUAUCUGAUGUGUUUA
rnacentral:lncRNA from 1 species